rnacentral:rRNA from 1 species
UACGAAGGGGAGCUAGCGUUGUUCGGAAUUACUGGGCGUAAAGCGCGCGCAGGCGGUUCUCCAAGUCAGUGGUGAAAGCCCGGAAGCUCCGAACUCCGGAACUGCCAUUGAAACUGUAAGACUUGAAGGAUGAGAGAGGUGAGGUGGAAUUCCCGAGUGUAGGAGGUGAAAUUCGUAGAUAUUGGGAAGAACACCGGGUGGCGAAGGCGGCUCACGUGGGCCUCCAGUUUCUGACGCUCAGGCGCG